GCCGGUGACUAUAGCGGGAAGGUCACACCCGAUCCCAUUCCGAACUCGGAAGUUAAGCUUCCCUGCGCCGAUGGUACUGCAUGAGGAAUUGUGUGGGAGAGUAGGUCGUUGCCGGCU
rnacentral:rRNA from 1 species